UACGAAGGGUGCAAGUGUUAUCCGGAAUUAUUGGGCGUAAGGAGCUCGUAGGCGGUUUGUCGCGUCUGCUGUGAAAACUGGGGGCUCAACCCCCAGCCUGCAGUGGGUACGGGCAGACUAGAGUGCGGUAGGGGAGAUUGGAAUUCCUGGUGUAGCGGUGGAAUGCGCAGAUAUCAGGAGGAACACCGAUGGCGAAGGCAGAUCUCUGGGCCGUAACUGACGCUGAGGAGCGAAAGCAUGGGGAGCGAACAGG
rnacentral:rRNA from 1 species